ACUUACGGUCACACCAGUGUGAAUGUGCCCGAACUCUUCUGAUCUCGGAAGCUAAAACACGCUUGGUCUCGGCCAGUACUUGGAUGGGAGACCACCUAGGAGCCCUGAGUGCUAUAAGCU
rnacentral:rRNA from 1 species